rnacentral:rRNA from 1 species
GGACGAACGCUGGCGGCGUGCUUAACACAUGCAAGUCGAACGCUGAUCCGGUCYUUCGGGGCUGGUGAUGAGUGGCGAACGGGUGAGUAACACGUGGGUAAUCUGCCCCGCACUCUGGGAUAAGCCCGGGAAACUGGGUCUAAUACCGGAUAUGACCGAUGGUCGCAUGGCUGUUGGUGGAAAGCUUUUGCGGUGUGGGAUGGGCCCGCGGCCUAUCAGCUUGUUGGUGGGGUGAUGGCCUACCAAGGCGACGACGGGUAGCCGGCCUGAGAGGGUGACCGGCCACACUGGGACUGAGACACGGCCCAGACUCCUACGGGAGGCAGCAGUGGGGAAUAUUGCACAAUGGGCGGAAGCCUGAUGCAGCGACGCCGCGUGAGGGAUGACGGCCUUCGGGUUGUAAACCUCUUUCAGCAGGGAAGAAGCGUGAGUGACGGUACCUGCAGAAGAAGCACCGGCUAACUACGU